UGGAAAGGAGAGCUAAAUCACAUGCUUGGAACUUCUGAUAAUAAAGCAGAUGUGACUCAUUGUUGAGGUUCUCUUGUUUGGCGUGUGUGUGUGUGUGUGUGUGUGUGUGUGUGUGUGUGUUGGAACUGAAUCAGCAUUCCAG